rnacentral:rRNA from 1 species
AAGUCGAACGGUAAGGAUCACUUCGGUGAUUACACGAGUGGCGCACGGGUGCGUAACGCGUAUGCAACCUACCUUUAACAGGAGGAUAGCUCCGAGAAAUUGGGAUUAAUACUCCAUAAUAUUAUUUUAUUGCAUGAUAAAAUAAUUAAAGCUACGGCGGUUAAAGAUGGGCAUGCGUGACAUUAGCUGGUUGGUAAGGUAACGGCUUACCAAAGCGACGAUGUCUAGGGGGUCUGAGAGGAUGAUCCCCCACACUGGUACUGAGACACGGACCAGACUCCUACGGGAGGCAGCAGUGAGGAAUAUUGGUCAAUGGACGCAAGUCUGAACCAGCCAUGCCGCGUGCAGGAUUGACGGCCCUAUGGGUUGUAAACUGCUUUUAUUUGGGAAGAAAGGUCGCUACGAGUAGUGAUUUGACGGUACCAUUUGAAUAAGCACCGGCUAACUCCGUGCCAGCAGCCGCGGUAAUACGGAGGGUGCAAGCGUUAUCCGGAUUCAUUGGGU